rnacentral:rRNA from 1 species
AUUGAACGCUGGCGGCAGGCCUAACACAUGCAAGUCGAGCGGAUGAGAAGAGCUUGCUCUUCGAUUCAGCGGCGGACGGGUGAGUAAUGCCUAGGAAUCUGCCUGGUAGUGGGGGACAACGUCUCGAAAGGGACGCUAAUACCGCAUACGUCCUACGGGAGAAAGCAGGGGACCUUCGGGCCUUGCGCUAUCAGAUGAGCCUAGGUCGGAUUAGCUUGUUGGUGAGGUAAUGGCUCACCAAGGCGACGAUCCGUAACUGGUCUGAGAGGAUGAUCAGUCACACUGGAACUGAGACACGGUCCAGACUCCUACGGGAGGCAGCAGUGGGGAAUAUUGGACAAUGGGCGAAAGCCUGAUCCAGCCAUGCCGCGUGUGUGAAGAAGGUCUUCGGAUUGUAAAGCACUUUAAGUUGGGAGGAAGGGCAGUCAGCGAAUACCUGGUUGUUUUGACGUUACCGACAGAAUAAGCACCGGCUAACUCUGUGCCAGCCGCCGCAGUAACAC